GACGAACGCUGGCGGCGUGCUUAACACAUGCAAGUCGAACGGAAAGGCCCUGCUUUUGUGGGGUGCUCGAGUGGCGAACGGGUGAGUAACGCGUGAGUAACCUGCCCUUGACUUUGGGAUAACUUCAGGAAACUGGGGCUAAUACCGGAUAGGAGCUCCUGCUGCACGGUGGGGGUUGGAAAGUUUCGGCGGUUGGGGAUGGACUCGCGGCUUAUCAGCUUGUUGGUGGGGUAGUGGCUUACCAAGGCUUUGACGGGUAGCCGGCCUGAGAGGGUGACCGGCCACAUUGGGACUGAGGUACGGCCCAGACUCCUACGGGAGGCAGAAGUGGGGAAUAUUGCACAAUGGGCGGAAGCCUGAUGCAGCAACGCCGCGUGCGGGAUGACGGCCUUCGGGUUGUAAACCGCUUUCGCCUGUGACGAAGCGUGAGUGACGGUAAUGGGUAAAGAAGCACCGGCUAACUACGUG
rnacentral:rRNA from 1 species